UUUGUAGGGUCGAUUUCAUCGAGUGGCCAUAAAUCAUGAUCUUCACCUUUUGUAUUUAUUAAAUCUUCAACGUCACUCGCUUGUGCUAGUGUUACUAGCUUCAUGUCACAAGAUUUCUUGUAUUUUGAAAAUGAUUUCUUAAGACGUGAAGACGGAAUAAUCGGUUAUUAAUGUUCGGAUAAAUAAAAUCUGCUUCUGAUUAUC
rnacentral:lncRNA from 1 species